UUAGCUACUGGAUUCAUUUUUAUUUAAACCUUCCGGAGAUGUCUAGAAAUCUAUGGACUUGUUCAAAGAUAAUACUUGAAAUAAUAAUAUCGUCAGUGCCUUUUAAUAAUGUCUGUAUUGAAAUCACGUUUUGGGGUAAGGUAAAAAUUGAAUGUUUACGUGCAUCGCGAUGUAGAGGACAGGUUUUAACCACGAGAGCACCAUGCAGAAAUUGAAAAAAACGAUAACCCGGGGGGUCAGCAAAUUUCAACCAUACUUGGUCUAUUGGGACCCCUAGACGACAGAAGUCACAUGAUGGAGUGAAAAAAUUUUGAACUGACAACUUCCGGUAUAACUGGAAAUUGUUGUUUUGGGGCAAAAGUUGACAUAUUUCGACCAAUUUGUUACCCUAAUUUCAAAACGCUCCUACCCGAAAAGUUGUGUCUCUAAAUUUUUGAUAUUGGUCAGGUAUGAUAGGCCUAGUAGUCGUCUUAAAAUCCUGCAGUCGUUUGGGAAUGAAUGAAUCAUGUGGAAUUUUCUGUGAGUGAUCAUAAAGUGGUCAUUUUACAUAUGUUUAAAACUAUGCUAUCCUAAAACGCAUGUAGCUGCUUCUUUGCAGGUCUGACAUAGAAUUGCUUGGUGUGGUUGUGAAGGGCAUUUCUCAAAGUAAAUGUCAAAAGAAAAAAACUGACCGGAACGCAACCCACUAGAGUGCUGUAAUAUUCUGAAAAUGUGUAAAAACGGUAUUUUCCACGAAAUUCGUCUUUUCACUAAUGACCGAAUACUAUUUUCAAGAGUUCAAAUGACCGUUGAUUAUGAACAUUAGUACUAUUUUUUGUUACUUGAACGUUCCUUGUGCCAAAUAUACUAUCUUGGUUAAAAAUCAUGAAGUUUUUGUGACAAAAUCGGACGUUCGCGGUCAUCGUAGGAAAGGGGCUUAACUGGUGUAUAAUUUUGCAGGAUCAGGCAACGAUUAUUCUCACCUGUAUUCAGUAGUUAGUAGCACGGAAGUGCAUAAAUGUAAGGACUGGCAUAGCAAGCUUUUAUAUUAGCACAAUUUAACCUAAGCAGCACCUUUUCAGCAAUGACCAACGAUUAUCUUCAAAUGACUACUGAUCAUCACCAUUACUUGUAAUAUUUCGUAAUUUCAACGUGAAUCGUGUCAAAUAGAUCAUUUUGUUUAAAAUCAUAAUAUUUUUGUGACAAAAUCUGACUUUCACGCUUGCUUGAUAGCCAUAGGGAAGGGUCAUAAGUGGUGUGUAAUUUUGCAGGGAUCAGACCACUGUUAUUAAGAUCUGUAUUCAUGAGCAGAUCAUCGUAUAAAUUUGACUGACAUGACUAUCAUAAACAUGAUAUCUUUUAAUUUGUACACCUGCUCAUGUAAAGAAGAACCAUAAGAAGAAACAUUCAGAAGUGUUCAUGUAGGUACAUUUAAUGUCUGGUAUUGAAAUCUCUGAAUCAUGGCAUAGAUCAAAACAGGAUUUAUGGCACUCCAGGAUAAUGUUGACAGCAUGUGCCAAACUCCUACAUAUACCUACGUUCGAGCAGAAGUGCUCACUUACUUAGAUUCCUACGUUCGAGUGUAAAUGCUCUCUGACCUUCCUUCAAGGUUUUUGGACCACAGAGUACUGUUUUAUUUUGUAGUACUGUUUUUGACCUCUUCUCCUUCAGGGAUUUCAAUAUGGAAUUAUCAUAGCCUCCCGAUCUGUAAUGCCUCUCUAUGAAAACGUCCAAAUGUUUCCAUACAAUGAUCGGCUCCUAAAUACAGAUGGGAAUAAGCUGGUCUGAUUCCUAAAAUAUGUUUGACCAAAAUAACCUAUUUGGCACAAGGAACAUUGGCAGAAAAGGUGUUGUAUGGUCGUCUUGCUGAUUGUGUGACUACGACUUACUGUCACUGGAUCAUCUACAAUCCCCUCGUCCUUAAAACCUGUUACAAGUACAUCCCUCAGAAACACUUCUUUUACCCAAGAGCUAAAAUAUGCUUACACUGAAUCGUGUAUCAUAUUUCACCUUUCAUUAUAUCAUAUUUAUAGAAGACGAUUUGUUCUGUUUAAAUUGCAUUGGACAUUCAUGAAACUUGUCGCUGGUCUAACACAUAGACUUUAGAUCCUAAGGUCUGUCAUUGAGUUAAGUGGUGUGACAGCAUGCCGGUGACAUGGUGUGGUGUUGUUUGUUCAACCUCAUGGAUAUUCUCUUUUCCCACAAGUGUAUUAUUGAAGUGAAAUUGUACCAUAUGUUAGUCCCAAAAUGACCUAGUUUGUGUUGAGUGGACCUUAAACUCCAUUUCUCUCUCUUAAGUCAAAAUCACCCUUGCUAACGAAUAUAUUAACUUUGUGAUGAUGUCCAUAGAUACAGUAUGCAUCACCAUAUUAUGCUAGUCCCAAAAUGACCUAGUUUGUGUCCAGUGGACUUUAAAUCUCAUUUUACUUUGUUCCUCUCAUGUGUAAAUCAUCCUUGCUAACGACUAAAUGGAAUAUAUUAAAUUUGUAAAGAUGUCCACACAUAUACUUCAUCUGGGGUAUUGAUAGACGGGACAUUUUAUCCUAAUUUUUGGUGUUUUUAAUAUAUUUCUCCUGUUUUUAUUAUGACUGUUCCGGUCAUUUUUAUUUUUUAUUUUGUUAGUAGGAAGGUUGCUAGUUGUGGGUAACAUUCAACUUCGGUCCUAGUCCCUGCAAAGAACGAGCUAUAGUCUGUACUCAAAUACAUGUAAUAUAAUUUGUUGAAGUCACUUGGUCAACUCGCAAACUAUAAUUAACAACCAAUUUACUCUCUUGAAACUUUUUUGGUCAUUAGCUGAAUUUUAAAUUCUAAAAUUCAGUGUAUAGCCUUAUAACAACUUGAAUUACGGUAUAUGUUAGUAUUAACAAGAAACUGAAGAGAAUGGCGCUGUCUUUUCACAGAUUCGAUUAAAGGCAAAAAGAUAAGUAUAAUACUUUAUCACUUCUUUACAAUAAUAUUAAAUUACAUAAGAUUUAUGCGAUUUUGUUAUUUACUUAAAGAUAGGUUCCCAGAAAAGUAUUUAUCAGGUGGUUAUUUCCAAUAAAAGUAUGACAAUUUUGGUAUAUAUGGAAAGUAGAGGUAUCCAAUCUUACUAGAAAAAUACUGGAUUCCCCGAAAAAUACUCAUGAAGCGUAUACAGGACAAAAAUGUCAGGGUUCCCCAUAUCGACAGUCCGACGAUUAGGAAUAUCUGCACGCGUGACGUCAGAGGUUACACGCGGUGAUUGAGCCCUUGAUGUACAUGUUGAUAAACUUUAUGAAGAGUUAGACGUACAACACUUUCUGAGAUAAAAAUCACGGAAAAAGACGCAGGCAGUGGAUAAUCCGAGAAUUUAAUUAGGUUUUUAUAUUUGUAAUAAAUAGUCAGCGAUUAAAGACAACAUCGUCUUGUGUAUGCAAUGCAUUUACUAUUUUAGUGUAUACGUGUAGUCAGUGCCGGACUGGGGCCACCUGUCCACCUGUCCGUGACAGGUGGGCCUAAGCUCAUUAAAAAAAAGUGGGCCUAAGCCUAUAAACAAAAAAGAAAAAAGAGAAAGAAAGGAGAGGGGGGAGAAAAGAAAGAAAGAAGGAGCGGGCAGGACACAGGACUGGAGAAAGAAAUGAUUGGAAAAAAAUGACUGACAAACAACACAAAAAAAGAAGUGUACUAGAAUUCUCAAAUUCAUCUAAUGAUAGUGCUCUUAGGUCAUUCUGUUAUCUAAUUGUACCAGGAAAUCAAAAAUUUGCCUUCUUCUGCUUUGGUCUGAAAUGCUUGGAAAAUGGGUUUGCGGUUGACAAUUUUCAAACCUUUUCUGGGAGAAGAAGCCACCCAGACCCCCCUCGGACGUUUUCGCGCCUUUGGCACGCUCGUGACGCGCCGUCGGCGCGUACUUGUGUGGGUCUUGGUCAAUGACCUGACAGAGUCCAGCAGUGCAUGUAGUUAAGACCAUGCCUUCCACUUUGGAAUGGUGAAUGACUCAUGUCUUAUGUGCCUUACUACUGGAAUGACCCCUGUUAGCCCUGUACUGAAGUCAAAGGGCAUUCCCGAACUUAGGGUACUUCCACUGAACUCAGUGGCAUGUCUGGAAUUUUAUGCUUAUUCUGAUAGGCGACGGCCAAGGUUUGGAUAUCUUGAGAAUUUUCACUUGGUUUCCGGCUCUGGGUACACCAUAUAUUAAACCUUUCGAUAGUUGGAGAUUUCUGCAAUGGUUUUGUGUAAUAUCAUUAAGAAUCGAAUGAUUUUUCAAUGAUCAAUAAAGGAUGGGCAGGGAUGGAUUUAAUUUAUUCUCUAUGACAUGAAUGAUACAUUAAACCAUGUAAAAUAGACAUGCGCAUUCUUUUCUUUGUUUUGUAAUCAAUCAAAUACCCACCAGAAAUAUUAGCCAAUCACAGUGCAGGCUUGUAUAGCGAACACAUAGGUAGCUGAUUCUUUACAGGUGAUCUGAAUUAUGGAACGCCAAACUAACAUAAAAUCAAUUCACUGCCAAUGGGUCCCGUCAAUUAAAUGAAUAUUUGUAAAUUUGUCGUUCCAUACAGCUAGAGACGCCGAUUCGAACAACCCAGUCGCCUGGUAACCGUGGUGAGUACUUUUCAGAUACAAACUUUAGAAAGCAAACAUCCCCCAACCGUCCUUCAAUUUGAAAUUGAGCGGCCAAGUGAAAGCAUCUAUUCACAUUAGCCAAAUAUAGGAUACGUCUCUCAUCUCAAACAGGUUAGUAAACUUUUAAUUUUCAUUUUAAAAUUUUAUUCAGAUAGGCUGGUAUAUUAACAAGUCCAUAGAACAGUAGAACUUUAAACCCCCAUUUAAACAGUCGAUCAAUAUUUGUACGUGACAGAAGUAGGGUAUGUCGAACCGAGUGGGUUUUCUCUUAGUCAUUCGGUUUCUUUCCAUUGGUAAAGACACGUACGUUCAGAUAGGCUGGUAUAUUAUUAACAAGUCGACAGAACAGUAGGACUUUAAACCCUCCAUUUAAACAGUCGAUUAAUAUUUUUACGUGACAGGAGUAGGGUAUGUCCUUCGUUUUUUUCCAUUGCUAAAGACACCUACGUACAAUAUACCACAUGUUAGUCCCGAAAUUACCUAGUUCGUGUUGAGUAGACGUUAAAAUAGUGUCGUGUUUUAUUUGCAUUAAACUGGACCUACAAAAUGGCGCAAAAUUCUUCAUUGUAUUACCAAUAGCAUAUGCGCAGUAUGUUAGUCUCAUAAUUGUCUCUGGGUUUUUUUUAUCAAGCAACAGUUUCUCAAUGUAGAAUUUGAAUACCCGGAAAGGAAUAGUGUGAGACGGCCUAGGUUUACAAACUAUAUGCAUUGUUCAUUAUUAAAGGGGAAGUGUCAGCGUUCACCAGGUAUACAAAUCAAGGGACAAAAUGUGAAGAAUUUUCUGAUUUAUAGCCCACCUCACAUGAAUAAUGAAAGUUUGUAUUUCUUUGGCAUAGCAUCAUAAAAUUUUAGAUUGUCGAAUAGGCCAAGGUUAGAGUCUUUCACGCAGAGUUAACCAGUUUAUUUACUUUCAUAUUUCUAUUACAUAUUACAGACAUAUCUCCUGUUAUCGGUCGGACGAUGGCGGCGUGGUAGUUCUUCUUUGGAUUGCACUAAAGGAGACAAGAAGUUUAUGGUAUCAUAGAGAGGUCCACACACGUUAUUAUUUAUCUUAUACUGGGUCUGUCUUUAUAUUCUGGCUGGUUGAUGUGUAUAAGCUUGGCUUGUGCACCAGAUUCCUUUGUAAAUAUCAUGUGAAGUUUUCCAUGAUGUAUUAAUAGGUUUUUUUUGGUUGAAAGUUGUAGACAUGGGGAGUAAUUAAAUUGGGAUAUAUUAAUAUGGCAUCAAUCAACUAAUCCCACAUCUCCUUUAGGCAACUAAUAUUUUCUUUUUGGGGUUCUUCUUUUGUUUGUUUUUUUUUGCAUGUUUUUCACUGCAUUUGCUUAAGUAAGGGGUGCUAUAUUUAAUAUAUUCUGAUAUUUGGUUUAUCUUAGAUUUUUAAUGCCCUUAAUGUAUAUUGCAAAUUUCUCAUGAGAGUCCAGUAAAGAUAAUCUUGUAUAACGUGUUUCUAUGAUAAACUUAGAUGUAUUGUUGAUAGUGGGGUCUAGAGAGUUUACGGAUACAGGAUCGUGGGGAUAUGUUUGUAAGGGACGUAUGAAGACGGUGAUAGUUGUGGAUGAGCAGGACACACAGCAUAUUAUACAUGGAGGUAUUAUUGUACAGACAAUUGUUAUGCAAUCGAUGAGGACCACAACAAUGUUAAGACGCCGAAUGAUCAAUAUGACGAUUACCACUGGUAUAGGAGAACAGACAGGCUGUGAUUUGGAUGGAUGUCAAGCGGAAGUUUAUGGUACCGGGAACUCGACUGGGAAAUGGAAGUUGCAUAGGGAAAUUCUAGAUUGGCAAUAACAGGUUUAUGUUUUUUCUGUAUGUAUUGUAUAUAUACUAUUCAAAAAAA